UAGGAAGGCUAAAUUAUAGAUCGGCUUUUCUUAUGUUUAGUGUAAAAAUUGGAGUUAUUUUAUGUCUCUAAGUACUGAAGAAAAAGCGCAAAUUAUAGCAGAUUAUGGUCGUAAUAAA
rnacentral:ncRNA from 1 species